UGGAAAUUGGGAGAUACUUUAUGUUGAGAUUUCAUCAAUAAGUCAGUCUCAAUCUAGGAGUCAGGCAAUGUCCACAUUCUGUGAAUGUGAUGUGAAUAUAUAUAUGUGUGUGUGUGUGUGUGUGUGUGUGUGUGUAAUAUCUACACAAAUGUCCAU